AUCCAGCUGACGUGUUCUAAAUAGAACGAUACGUGCAUCCUGGAU
rnacentral:hammerhead_ribozyme from 1 species